rnacentral:tRNA from 1 species
GUCCAAGUAAUUUAAUUAAAAUACUGGCCUUGUAAGCCAAUAAUGAAGGUCCGUAUCCUUCCUAGGACA